rnacentral:rRNA from 1 species
UACGUAGGGUGCGAGCGUUAAUCGGAAUUACUGGGCGUAAAGCGUGCGCAGGCGGUUAUUUAAGUCAGGGGUGAAAGCCCUGGGCUUAACCUAGGAAUUGCGCUUGAGACUGGAUAGCUUGGAGUGCGGCAGAGGGAGGUGGAAUUCCACGUGUAGCAGUGAAAUGCGUAGAGAUGCGGCGGAACACCGAUGGCGAAGGCAGCCCCCUGGGCUGAGAUUGACGCUCAGGCACGAAAGCGUGGGGAGCAAACAGG